GAGAGAGAGAGUGUGUGUGUGUUGGGAUCAUGUCACUGGCUCUGAUCUCCACGCAGUCGUUUUUUUUUUUUUUUUUUCUGAAUGUAUUUAUUGAUUGAUUCUAAGAAAUGCACCCCGACAGUAGCGUGUGCGUGGAGCUGUCGGCCACAUGUGGAUUCCUGUCGUGCCGUGGAACAGAAGAGCAGGAGAUGACACUCGCCCCCGCACGGAUGCUGACAGUGGUCACGAGUGAGAUUUAGUUGUUGUUGUUUUUUUUUGGAUGCAUUGGAUUUGCCGUUGGAGUGAAAGAAGACGCGCAGUCACAGAGUGUUUGGGGGGGGGAGGAAUAUAAGAGUCCAAACAUGCAGACCAUGUUCCAGUGUUCCAGCUGUGACAAACCGAUCGUGGACAGGUUCCUGCUCAAAGUUCUGGACAGACCGUGGCACAUCAAGUGCGUCCAGUGCACCGACUGUAAGUGCACUUUGACGGAGAAGUGUUUCUCGCGAGAAGGCAGACUCUACUGUAAGAACGACUUCUUCAGCGAACAAUGAUUCCAUGAUCGUCAUAUGAUGGGAAGGG